rnacentral:rRNA from 1 species
AAUGAACGCUAGCGGGAUGCCUUACACAUGCAAGUCGAACGGAGUGGCGAACGGGUGAGUAAUGUAUCGGAACGUGCCCAGUAGAGGGGGAUAACUCCGCGAAAGCGUAGCCAAUAACGCAUACGAUUGGAGCGGCCGAUCUAGGAUUAGCUAGUUGGUGGGGUAACGGAUCACCAAGGCGAAGAUCCGUAGCUGGGUUGAGAGGACGACCAGCCACACUGGGACUGAGACACGGCCCAGACUCCUACGGUAGGAAGCAGUGGGGAAUUUUGGACAAUGGGGGAAACCCUGACCCAGCCAUCCCGCGUGUGUGAUGAAGGCCUUCGGGUUGUAAAGCACUGUUGUCAGAGAAGCGGUACCUGCAGAGUAAGCACCGGCUAACUACGUGCCAGCAGCCGCGGUAAUUC